rnacentral:ribozyme from 13 species
ACUUUUUUUUUUUUUUUUUUUUUUUUUUUUUUUUUUUUUUUUUUUUUUUUUUUUUUUUUUGGGGCAAGACAAGGGAGAGCGACUGAGGUGCAG